GUAGUUAUAGCUCAAUGGUAGAGUGUCGGAUUGUGGUUCCGAAAGUUACGGGUUCGAAUCCCGUUAAUUACC
rnacentral:tRNA from 1 species